UGUUUUUUUUUGUUUGCUGUUAAUCAGAAUUAAGGAGAAGUAUCCUCAAGCAUUUGAUGACAUAUGCCUGUAUUCUGAGGUGUCCUACUUGCUAGCACAUUGCACAUUUCGACUCCCAUCCAGAAGGUUCAUUCAGGAGUUGUUUCAAGAUGUGCAGUUCUUACAGAUGCAUGAAGAGGCGGAGGCUAUUUUAGCAACACCAACAAAGCAACCAGUAACUGAUGUAUCAGCUGAAUCCUGACCUCUGUCUCACACAGUUCAUUGCAUACAGGCUUCCUGGAAUUCUCAGACAUCUUCCAAUUGACCGGAUAAUAAAGUUUGGAGCAUCACCUUUUAGACUGUUCCAGAAGCUACUGGUACCUGAAGAAUGAACUGAAAAACUUUUUCUUCCUCAACCAAUUACUGCCCUAGUCUAUGGAGUCCCUUGGGGAUUUAUGAAACAUUAUGUAGUUCUAAUAAUAGUAAUUAUCAGUAUAUGCAAGAGCCGAGCACUGAACACCUCCACAAGUUUUCAUUUCAUUUUUACCU